UUAUUAAGCAAAUAAACAAAGCAUGUAAUUCUUACAACAUAAGAGAUAAAUAAAAUUCUAUUUGUUGCAAGUUUAGGAGAAAAAUAUGACUAAAAUUAUUAAGUUUGUUCAUGUGAUGGUCCUCUUUAUUUUGUUAUUUUUUGUUGUAACUAACGUUAAUGGAAAGUGGCCAAGUUGCAAAGAAGCUAUUGAUUGUGGAGAAAACUUUUGCAUUAGUCGUUUUAGAGUAAAAUGCUGGAGGUUCAAAUGUUUUUGUAUUCUGUGAUAAGAGUUUGACAUUGUAACUUCAACGGACAAAAUCUAUAUCAUGCUAGUGAUGAUGAAAGUAAUCAAAAUAGUAAUAAUUUUGAUAAAAUAUAUUUUGCUUUUAAGCCUGCAACUUAUUUGUAUGUCAUAAUGUUAUUACUUUAAUAAUUUGUCUACACUUUAAUUUACACUUUGGUUGGCCUUUGAACUU